rnacentral:rRNA from 1 species
AUGUGUUGUCCUCGUGCUGUAUGCGGUAGAUGUGGUCUUAGUGGGCACCUUGUUCCUAUCUGCAAUAUUGUUAUUCCUUGGGAAUGUGUGGCUCCUAUGUGUGGAUUUCAAGCUAAUGGGAAGGGUUUCUUCUAUAUCCAUGAUGCUAGUACACCUAAGCAGAAUACUGACAGGAACAGAUAUAUUGUGAUCACUAUGAUUGAGGGGCAGGCUAGUGUAGACAGUUAG